rnacentral:lncRNA from 1 species
CCACCAACCAGUUUAUUAUUCAAAGCCAGGUAUCUCUUGCUUAAUAGGAAUUUUCUGAAUAAUACUUUAAGCUUAAAGAAUUCAUGAAUUAAGAAAAUUUAAGAAAAAAACCUCUUGAACUGUGAAAACUAAAGGGUAUGGAGCAGAAACUCUGUGAAGAGAGAGAGGCAAAGCCUUCCCCUGCUACCCCCUUACUUAAAAAAAUUUUUUUCUGGCAUUUGUAGUUGUAGCCUCCCAACUCUGUGAGCCAGCAGGUGAAACACUCUGGGUCUGAACAAAACAUGUUUGAAAAUCAUUUGUAAGAAAGGAUCCUCUUCUGGCCUCUGUAAUAUGAUGUUUUGGCCAGGGAAAAGGCAGGGCAAUUCAGACAGCGCAGCAGCAUCCUCACUGCAAGAGGUAGGAGAAACCACAGGACAUGGCAGAAUCUUAGGGUGUGAGGGCCAGAGCAAAGGUGAAGUCAGGAGGCAGUAAGUGCAGGCUGGUUGAGCGGAGGGACCGUGUGUAAUGCUGAGGAGUUUGGACUUUGUAAGGUAAUGUAACAAUAACCAACAAUAAUCAACAUCUAAACAUAUGCCAGACACUGGGCUAAGUGC